rnacentral:rRNA from 1 species
CGACAGGGAGCGGAACCCGAAAGCCUGUCUCAGUUCGGAUUGGAGUCUGNAACCCGACUCCAUGAAGCUGGAUUCGCUAGUAAUCGCGGAUCAGCAUGCCGCGGUGAAUACGUUCCCGGGCCUUGUACACACCGCCCGUCACACCAUGGAAGUUUGCAAUGCCCAAAGUCGGUGGCCUAACCAUUUGGAGGGAACCGCCUAAGGCAGGGCAGAUGACUGGGGUGAAGUCGUAACAAGGUAAC